AGCGCGGCGCCGGGCCCGCCGCCGGGAGGAAACGCAGAUGAGCCCACGCGGGGGGCGGCUUCGGUGAGCCUGCCUGUGCCCGGAAAGCAGCAAGGUCACCAAGUCCAGACAAGACGGAGAAGCUCGGGUGGAAGGAGACUCGAGACAUGACAGCUGGACGCAGCCCAUGACGUGACGGGGUCCUUGGGCUGUGGGGACAUCUGGGGACAGCAGCAAACUGAAUAGUGGGAGUUUGGGUGGCAGCAACGUGCCAAUGUAAUAGCCCUGGCCAGGUGGCUCCCAUGGUGAUGUCCUCUGGCUGUACCGUUGUCCUGAGGGGACUGCCAGUGCCCGUCUGCCGUGGGAUGGUGGCCAGCAAACCCGCAGAGACACAAAGUGAACAGAGGAGCCUGGACCGCGAGGCAGGAGGCGGGCUUCCAGGAUGGCUGUGUCCCCACUGGCUGGCCUUCCGGGGCCCCUUUCAAAAGUGUGCUGGUUGGGGGGUUAACUGUGUGCUGUCCCGAGACCCUGGGCACUUGGGACAUGGAAUUUAACCUUGACGGACUGGUGAGGACCUGCUGUGGGGAGCGAGGAGUGAAGCCAGCUGCCUCCCCCGUUCCUGCCCUCCUCGCCCUCCCCUCGUGCCCGGGGUUGGAAAUUCCACCUCCUCCCAGGCGAGCUCUGCCCUCUCAGAGGGGCGGUGGGCUCCAAGCUGGCAGCAGAGGGGACGAGCUGUCCGGGCUGUCUGCGGCCCAGCUCUGUCGACGACCUGUCUGCCGGGGCCAUGUGCCUUCUGCUCGGAGAAGAGAUGCUGAGCAAUCACAGAGACUUUCUGAAGAGGCAGAAUGCUCAGUUUUCUUCAGCCUCAAGUGGCAAGUGGUUAAAAAUAUGAUUACAGGAUUGUUUAUUAAAUUGAGGUUUAUUUUUCUGCUUUAUUAAGUCAACACUAUUGAGUCAACUGAGAAUUUGAUCUUCAGGGCUGACGCAGAAGCUUGUUUAUGUAACUAAGUUGAUCAUGAAAGAAGUGAAUCAGUUAUCCACAUGUGUUCAUUCACUUACUUUUGGUUAAUAGAUUAAUGAUUCAGCUGUGAUCAAAUUUCGUUUUGGUUGCUGGUGGCAGUUCCCUUAAUCUCACCUCGAUAAAUCAAAUAAUGGAACCUCAUAUGGGUUCUGAAGAGAAAAUGAUGUUCUUAAUUGUGCAUGAAGUGGCUUCGCUCCCAAGGACAGCAGCCGUCAGCCACACACGCCUGCGGCAGAGAGAUGCCCUUGGGCGACGCUGUUCUCCUGGCCGCGGCGGGAAGGGAGCGGGCUUUCCUCCUGGUCCCAAGUGUAUCUUUGGCGCACACCUUCAUCCACUGGCCAGCCAAACGCACGCCAGCAUUUGGAGAGGUGGGGGCCCCCUGGAACCACCCAGCGGACCCACCGAUGGCUCCUUCGCUCCCCUCCCCGCACCGCCCUGGUCCAGGCUCUUAGCUGUUGGUGCCACCUGUGA